GACGAACGCUGGCGGCGUGCUUAACACAUGCAAGUCGUACGGUAAGGCCCUUUCUGGGGUACACGAGUGGCGAACGGGUGAGUAACACGUGAGUAACCUGCCCACAACUUUGGGAUAACGCUAGGAAACUGGUGCUAAUACUGGAUAUGUGCUCCUUCUGCAUGGUGGGGGUUGGAAAGCUCCGGCGGUUUUGGAUGGACUCGCGGCCUAUCAGCUUGUUGGUGGGGUAGUGGCCUACCAAGGCGGCGACGGGUAGCCGGCCUGAGAGGGUGACCGGCCAAAUUGGGAAUGAGAUACGGCCCAGACUCCUACGGGAGGCAGAAGUGGGGAAUAUUGAGAAAUGGGCGCAAGCCUGAUGCAGCAACGCCGCGUGCGGGAUGACGGCCUUAGGGUUGUAAAACGCUUUCAGCAGGGACGAAGCUUUUUGUGACGGUACCUGCAGAAGAAGCACCGGCUAACUACGUG
rnacentral:rRNA from 1 species